CAAUAGCGUAUAUUUAAGUUGUUGCAGUUAAAAAGCUCGUAGUUGGAUUUCGGGUUGGCUUCAGCGGUCUCGCUUUGCGUUUGUACUGCUGCAGCCUACCUUCUUGUCGGGGACGGGCCUUCGGGCUUAAUUGCUUGGGGCCCGGAGUCGACGAUGUUACUUUGAGUAAAUUAGAGUGUUCAAAGCAAGCCCACGCUCUGAAUAUAAUAGCAUGGGAUAACACGACAGGACUCUGGCCUAUCGUGUUGGUCUGUAGGACCAGAGUAAUGAUUAAGAGGGACAGUCGGGGGCAUUCGUAUUCCGUUGUCAGAGGUGAAAUUCUUGGAUUUACGGAAGACGAACAUCUGCGAAAGCAUUUGCCAAGGAUGUUUUCAUUGA
rnacentral:rRNA from 1 species